UACGGGGGGGGCAAGCGUUGUUCGGAAUUACUGGGCGUAAAGGGCUCGUAGGCGGCCAACUAAGUCAGACGUGAAAUCCCUAGGCUCAACCUAGGAACUGCGUCUGAUACUGGAUGGCUUGAAUCCGGGAGAGGGAUGCAGAAUUCCUGGUGUAGCGGUGAAAUGCGCAGAUAUCAGGAGGAACACCAGCGGCGAAGGCGGCGCUCUGGGCCGGAACUGACGCUGAGGAGCGAAAGCAUGGGUAGCGAACAGG
rnacentral:rRNA from 1 species